rnacentral:rRNA from 1 species
UACGUAGGCAGCGAGCGUUGUUCGGAGUUACUGGGCGUAAAGGGUGUGUAGGCGGUUGUUUAAGUUUGGUGUGAAAUCUCCCGGCUCAACUGGGAGGGUGCGCCGAAUACUGAAUGACUUGGAGUGCGGGAGAGGAAAGUGGAAUUCCUGGUGUAGCGGUGAAAUGCGCAGAUAUCAGGAGGAACACCUAUUGCGAAGGCAGCUCGCUGGGACGUAACUGACGCUGAGACGCGAAAGCGUGGGGAGCAAACAGG